CGCGCAGGCGGUCGUUCAAGUCGCGUGUGAAAGCCCCCGGCUCAACUGGGGAGGGUCACGCGAUACUGAUCGACUCGAAGGCAGGAGAGGGUAGUGGAAUUCCCGGUGUAGUGGUGAAAUGCGUAGAUAUCGGGAGGAACACCAGUGGCGAAGGCGACUACCUGGCCUGUUCUUGACGCUGAGGCGCGAAAGCUAGGGAGGCAAACG
rnacentral:rRNA from 1 species